rnacentral:lncRNA from 1 species
UGGAGCCAAGAAGCAAAGUUCCUCCAUCCACAUCCAUGGAGCCAAGGAGUAAGGUGACAAAGGAAACAAGGCCCUCACAUGGGUGAUUAACCUUUGCUAAGCAAAGAGGUGCUUCAAAGGUAGAAAGUUUCUCAACUCACUUUGUUUUGAGUUAAGUCUUGGUUCACCCUCCUACUAGGCUUUGAAUUUCAUGGGUAAUGUUUUGUUUUGAGUGCAUACAAGCAUGAUUCUGCCUUUAAAUGUUAAUUGCAUGCCAUACAUGUUGCUCAAAUGAACAUGUUUUUCACAAAAUUUCCUUCACAACGGAACCAAAAUUUCAAGCGGUUUCUUGUAAUCAACCCAGACCUGUCACAUAUAAAAUCAAUGCCUAUAUUAUAGGAAUGGUACACUGGGCAAAUCAGGCACUCAGAUAAGCUACGAGGCUCGGGUGAGUGACAAUAAUACAAGUAUGUGAUAUUCAAUAAAACAGACCAUCAAUCACAAUUUAUAAACAUCAAGUAUAGAAUCAUGCUUUAUGAAAUCAUGAUCAAGUCGCUGAAACUCUGAAGAAGUCACCCAGACAUCCAACGCUUUUUCUAAUCUAAACCACAAGAUUCCGAAAAACCAUCGUUCAUAUAUCCAUUAAAAACUAGGGCUAGAGGGACGCAGUUUGGCCAAAGCCUACAUAAGUAACCAAACAUGAAAUGGCCCCCCAAAGUAGAUUAACCAAGCAGAGCCACCCCUAAGAAAGUAACCAAGUAGGUAGUGACCCCCCAAUGCGGAUUAACCAAGGAGGGUCACUCCUACAACUGUUAGAAAGUGAUCACGCAAUGCAGAUUAACCAAGCAUGAUCACUCUGAAGCAUACAUGGCCAUAAGGAUCGCCCAACGUGUAUUAACCAAGCACGAUCCAUAUAUAUAUCAUGGUCCCCCAAAGCGGAUUAACCAAGCAGGACCACUAGUGACCCCCCAAUGCGGAUUAACCGAGCAAAGGCAAGAUAAUCAGGUAGGUAGUGACCCCCUAACGUGGAUUAACCAAGCAGAGUCACACCUACAAAACUAUUAGGCAAUGAUCACCCAAUGCGGAUUAACCAAGCAUGAUCACUCCUCAGUAUAAAUGGCCAUAAGGAUCGCCCAACGCGAAUUAACCAAGCGCAAUCCAUAUAUAGUAUGGUCCCCCAAUGCAGAUUAACCAAGCAGGGUCAUAGUCCUCUACUAGCCCUCAAUUUACAAAACAUUUCAAUAUGCAAUUCGAAUCACUUUUCCUCAAAUUUACCAAUCCAUGAAUCAAAUCACAUUUAAUAGAAAUAGAUCGAUGGCCAAUUAUAAAAAAUCAUAUUUUAACAGAAAACACAUUUAUAAAACCAUGUCAUAUCCACAAAAGAUAUUAAUAUAAAAAUCGGGUAAUCACAAUAUCACAUAUAUUAAAGUCACUCACCGAGACAAGUCCACAAAGCUUCACUGAGUUUCUAGUAAUACUAAUUUUAAUAAUUCAAAUGGUUCAAGAUCUGUUGACCAAAAAUCAUUAAUGGGGUCCACACCCUAGCAAUUAAUCUGGAAGAUCCACACAUCAUAAUCUAGAUCCGUAACUUCCUAAGGUCCACAUUAUGCUCAAAGAAAAACAUACUAAAAUCUAUUGCGAUUCGAUGGUCGAAUCUCCGCCAAUUACUAGAAUUGGGUGGUGGUUAACAAUUAAUUUUACUAACUUCGAAAUCUAAUUCAGCAAGAUCCGUACAUCGGAUUCCCAAUCUGUUAGUUCCAGCUAUCCUCAAAUAUUAUGUUCUACAACACAUUAAAGUUUGGUGACGAUCCAACGGUCGAAUGGUCGAUUCAAAUUUUUAUCAAGUGAUGUAUUAUAAUGAAACUAAGUUCAAACAAUCAAACCACUUCAUACGGAUAUCAAUCAUGAAUUCAAGGAAUCUAAUUGGACUUAGAAAGAUAUCGUCGGCCCACUGGCCAAACGCCACUGCGGGCCGCCCCAACUCGCCAGAAAAUUCGACAAUUUUCAAAAAUUACUAAAUUUUACAGGCAAGUAGGUCUCAAUGAGGGGAACAAGUUUCAUACUUGUGGUGAAGUCCAUUUUGUCUAGGAAAAGCCUCAAAUCGCCAUGAACCCGCCGGAACCCUAGAAUUUGGGUGUCCUCAAUUCCACUCCUUAACAGCUUCGCCGCCCUUAAACUUGUUUAAGCUUUGUUCCAAGUCUCAAGAGGAUGCUAUAGGUAGUGGUGAUCAAAGGAAUUUGUUUCAGAUUUGGUGGAUUGACACCUAUGAACUUGCGCACCCAACACAAUUUCAAGGCCAUUUUUCAUCUAAUUUAUGGUGGAAUAGGUAAAGGGAAGGUCAUGGAACAUUUUUGAGGUGGUUUAGUAACAUAGUUCGCUGGAAAAAUCGACAAAAAACCACUGGAGGAGGUGGAGAAAGCCGGGUCGG